rfam:Pelodiscus sinensis unplaced genomic scaffold scaffold6, whole genome shotgun sequence.
GCACUGCCUUUGAGCAAGCGCAAUGCCCUCUGAUGGCUUCACCAACUAAGCAGUGGUGUGAGAGGAAAAGCUUGUUCAUAAUCGGUGCUGCUUGGCUAAAACCUAAGCUCUACUUUUAAGUGCGAGCAACAGGC